rnacentral:ncRNA from 1 species
AACGACCGGUCGGACACGCACGCUCACGGCAGCGGGUCCGGCCCACAAGUGGAGGCUUCGAACUCCCACCUGGCCGUCCUCUGGGCGGCGGGUCACCGGUCAGGCGGUCCCUCCUCAGCGGCGGUGACCGGCCCGAAAGCGCGCCCCGCGAUCAUCGCGACGGUGCUCCGGUAGCAGUUCGAGGAGCCCCGCCUGUGAUCGGCCGGGGCAUUUUUC